AUUCCAGCUCCAAUAGCGAAUACUAAUUCUGCUGCAGUUAAAAAGCUCGUAGUUGAACUUCUGGUAGGACAGAUCCGGCCUUUGGAUGAAUGUCCAUUGUAUGCUGUGUGUCUUGUCUGGCCAUCCUUUAUGUCUUUUAGGCGUAAUCUUUCACUGUAAAAAAAUUAGGGUGUUUCAAGCAAAAGUUAUUUGGAAUAUAUUAGUAUGGGAUGAUAAGAUAGGCUCUUGAGUGCUACUUUGUUGGUUUAUACACUUAGAGAAUGAUUAACAGGGACGGUUGGGGGUAUUCGUAUUCCGCCGAGAGAGGUGAAAUUCUCAGACCAGCGGAAGACGAACCACUGCGAAAGCAUUUGCCAGGGAUGUUUUCAUUA
rnacentral:rRNA from 1 species